AUGUGGUUUGUUCACAAGGAGGUGAUUCUGACUAAGAAUAACCUAGCAAAGCGUAAUUGGGAGGGUAGUCAAUGAUAUUGCUUUUGUGAUCAAGAUGAAACUAUCAAACGUCUCUUUCUCGAUUGUCCACUGGCUAAAAUAUUAUGGCGCUCAAUUUAUAUGGCCUUUAAUAUCACCCUAAAUGGAGUAGAACCAAAUAUUACGAGACAUAUUCGGAUAGGAGUAUGCCCAUUACUUUGGCCUAUAUGGAACUACAGAAAUGAUGUGGUUUUUAACAGACAAAUUAAAUUAUAUAAUUUUUUUGCAGGUUACCUACAGGGACACAGCUUGGAUCUGUACGUGGUCAUUACUCACUCCUUCAGAAGUCAGGGAGCCUUUGGUUGCUGGGUCUACCCAAUGGGAGAUAGUAGCUCAGGAUAUCUACAACUGGUUUGGAUGGUGGUUCAAUAA
rnacentral:rRNA from 1 species